rnacentral:rRNA from 1 species
GGCGAGUGAAGCGGCAACAGCUCAAAUUUGAAAGCUAGCCUUCGGGUUCGCAUUGUAAUUUGUAGAGGAUGAUUUGGGGAAGCCGCCUGUCUAAGUUCCUUGGAACAGGACGUCAUAGAGGGUGAGAAUCCCGUAUGUGACAGGAAAUGGCACCCUAUGUAAAUCUCCUUCGACGAGUCGAGUUGUUUGGGAAUGCAGCUCUAAAUGGGAGGUAAAUUUCUUCUAAAGCUAAAUAUUGGCGAGAGACCGAUAGCGCACAAGUAGAGUGAUCGAAAGAUGAAAAGCACUUUGGAAAGAGAGUUAAAAAGCACGUGAAAUUGUUGAAAGGGAAGCGCUUGCAAUCAGACUUGUUUAAACUGUUCGGCCGGUCUUCUGACCGGUUUACUCAGUUUGGACAGGCCAGCAUCAGUUUCGGCGGCCGGAUAAAGGCUCUGGGAAUGUGGCCUCCACUUCGGUGGAGGUGUUAUAGCCCAGGGUGUAAUACGGCCAGCCGGGACUGAGGUCCGCGCUUCGGCUAGGAUGCUGGCGUAAUGGUUGUAAGCGACCCGUCUU